CUUAAAUCAUAAGAAGGAACCACAAAUUACAAAAAAGUGAUAGAGGAUGGCAUAGCCACAGGUGAACAUAGUUUUCCUUACAUGUCCUAAAAUCAUUUUUGGUUUGUUAUGAACAGACACAUCAUUUGCAUAACCAUUGAUGCAAUGUCAAAGUAUUUUAAGCAGCUGUCUUUACUGUCAGACUAGGCUAAGACUAAGGACCGCUGUGGUAGAGACCAUAGUCUAGUGGAAAUAGAAACAGAAUCUUUGAGACUGAGGAGGUGUUAAAGUGCUUCAAGAAACUGAUGACAAUUAUUUAGGAUGUUCAUGAUAACGAAUCUUUUUAGCUAAAGAGGGGGAGGUCAAGCAUGCCUACCUGCCAAGUUCUCCAUACAGUAGGUCACUCAAGAAAUAGGAGCAAAGCACCCUUUUUCCAUAUGUGAAGGCACUAAUACAAAUAAAAUAGAUGUUGGACCUGUCACAUUCCAAAAGUUAAAUUAAAACCUGAGGAAAAACCUACAAGCAAGUGUCAUCCAGCCUUCAGAUGAUAUUCUACAACUACAUUCUGUGAAGGGUCCAGCCCUAAGAGCAAACUCAAUCCAGGAAUAUCGUUUGUUUUGAAUUAGUUGUGCUGAUUUAGAAUGGAAGAGUUAACAAGAACAUAGCUUAAGUAAACAAAUUUCCCUCUGUUCAGGUUUUAGCGGGUGAAGUACAAAAAACACUCUCAAAUAACAAAA